rnacentral:rRNA from 1 species
GAUGAACGCUGGCGGCGUGCCUAAUACAUGCAAGUCGAGCGAACAGACGAGGAGCUUGCUCCUCUGACGUUAGCGGCGGACGGGUGAGUAACACGUGGAUAACCUACCUAUAAGACUGGGAUAACUUCGGGAAACUGGAGCUAAUACCGGAUAAUAUAUUGAACCGCAUGGUUCAAUAGUGAAAGACGGUUUUGCUGUCACUUCUAGAUGGAUCCGCGCCGCAUUAGCUAGUUGGUAAGGUAACGGCUUACCAAGGCAACGAUGCGUAGCCGACCUGAGAGGGUGAUCGGCCACACUGGAACUGAGACACGGUCCAGGCUCCUACGGGAGGCAGCAGUAGGGAAUCCUCCGCAAUGGGCGAAAGCUUGACGGAGCAACGCCGCGUGAGUGAUGAAGGUCUUCGGAUCGUAAAACUCUGUUAUUAGGGAAGAACAAAUGUGUAAGUAACUAUGCACGUCUUGACGGUACCUAAUCAGAAAGCCACGGCUAACUACGUG